GAUCCUGGCUCAGGAUGAGCGCUAGCUACAGGCUUAACACAUGCAAGUCGAGGGGCAGCAUGAACUUAGCUUGCUAAGUUUGAUGGCGACCGGCGCACGGGUGAGUAACACGUAUCCAACCUGCCGAUGACUCGGGGAUAGCCUUUCGAAAGAAAGAUUAAUACCCGAUGGCAUAGUUCUUCCGCAUGGUAGAACUAUUAAAGAAAUUUCGGUCAUCGAUGGGGAGUGCGUUCCAUUAGG
rnacentral:rRNA from 1 species